rnacentral:rRNA from 1 species
AUUGAACGCUGGCGGCAGGCCUAACACAUGCAAGUCGAGCGAGCAGCGGACGGGUGAGUAAUGUCUGGGAAACUGCCUGAUGGAGGGGGAUAACUACUGGAAACGGUAGCUAAUAUCGCAUACCAUCAGAUGCGCCCAGCUGGGAUUAGCUAGUAGGUGAGGUAACGGCUCACCUAGGCGACGAUCCCUAGCUGGUCUGAGAGGAUGACUGUGCACACUGUAACGGAUACACGGUCCAUACUCCUACGGGAGGCAGCAGUUGGGAGUAUUGCACAAUGGGCGCAAGCGUGAUACAGCAAUGGCGCGUGUAUGAAGAAGGCCUUCGGGUUGUAAAGUACUUUCAGCGGGGGGGCGUUACCCGCAGAAGAAGCACCGGCUAACUCCGUGCCAGCAGCCGCGGUAAUAC